ACAGAGAUAUGUCAAAAGCAUUUUUAAAAAUGAUUACUGAAAAGUUAUAAUGUUUUAAUUGUAUAAAUUUUGUUUUAAUUUCAGAUUUUCCUGAUUAUGCCAGAGUACCAGAUAAGUGGUAAGUCUCCAUUUGAAUGACGUGGAAGUCAUUUAAAAAGGAGGGGAAGUGUGUUACAGUAUUAGAUUUAUUAAUUUAUUUAAUAAAUCUAUAAUGUAUUUCAUAUGUUUUUAAAUUGUAAAUAUAAAUGCAUUAUUAAAUCUUUAAAGGUCACCCAAGUAGAACAGGCAGUACCUGUACUUAAUUAUUAUUGCCUUGGGUUAUGAAGGUUCUGGUCUUUGGUCUUUGGUUUGAAGUAUUCACUGUUUUCAUUGGUUUGGACUUUGUAAGGUUGUGUUUUAUUGGUUCAGUAUUUUUCCCUCCAAAAAGUUGUUUGUUAUGGUCAUUCUUUGUCCAGUAUUUGUCCAGAGAGGGUUGUAUUUACGAAGUUUUAUAAUUACGACCUUCUGACAUUGACAGAGACAAUACUUUUCUCUCUUAAGUUUUAUGAUCUGGACAUACGUGUACAGUGAGCCAUAUUGUGACUACAAUGAAUGGGAGAGGCUCAGUCCCAUAGAUUGGGCAUUAUUCCAAAUUCCUUCAUUGUUCCAUUAUUCCAACUAUUCUAUGUGUUCAUCUGUGAAUGUAAUAAAUGGAGAUGUCAGUAGAACCCUGAAACGGACUUAUUUAUAUUUCCAUGCUCAAGAUUUAUAAUAAGACACCG